UCGCGAGCGCGUCGAAAAGCACAAGUGAUUCCCACAGCCGUCCCACGUCAUUACAUCCCCAAGCAGAAGGAGCGUCAAGCGCAAGAAAAUGGAACGUUCCUCCAAAGCAGACGAACGGGCCGACGAAACCGAAAGUGAAACUAAGCCAAGCACGCACUCCUCGUCAAAGCAGAAGACAAGCGAUCGUAAAACGCGCCGACGUCGGGUCAUACAGAGUUGGAACGCUCCCACCAAGAUGGAAAUCAUGUGCAAGGUCCUUCCCUGGGGUGUCGUCAGUGAAUGAACUUUUAUGCAAACUCGUGUAGAAGACGCUGAAAGUAUAGUAAAAGCGCGCGAAGUGUUGGCAAAGAUACAAAACAAAAACCAGAAAGUAUGAGGAGGGCAAGAAAAGCGCGUACAAAAAUGAGCUUAACAAAAAAAAAAAAAACAGU